CUAGCAAAGUGGGAGAGUGUUGACAUUUGAAAGGCAGGCGCUGGCAGACCUCAACUGCAGCAGCAGGAAACUGCCUGAAGACCACUUCAACUUGAUUUGUGCAACGAAACUCAAAUGCAAUGGAAUGGGAAGAGUGGACCAUCUAUAUGUCUUUGAUUAUUAGGAGGAGUGCUUCCGUGGGGUACUAUCAGCUGUAAGCCAGCCUUCUUCUCCAAUGUGGUGCCUUCUAGAUGUUUUGGACAACUUCCAUCAGCCCCAGCCAACAUAGUCGUGUUGUCCAAGGCAGAUGGGAAUUGCACCAGAUGCCAAGUUUUGAGAAGGAAGUGCUUUGUCUUUCAAUUAAAAAUAUCCAGACAACCCCACACAGUCAUGAUGGGAGAAAGAAAAACAAGUCCUCAACUGCAGAUAAAUGGAGGUUGGCUGAUCUUGAUCCAUGUGGAGGCAGAGGAAGCCCACUUUGUUGACCUUCUGCCCUCUGGCAUCACAGGUGGUGAACAGCACAAAGGAGACUUGGCUGUAGAUGCUGCUUGAGGUUCUUUAUGUUGGCCAGAUUGUAAAGAUGUCCAUUUAUGAGCACCCCAUGGGGUUCCCACCAAGUCAGCAGACACAACUGCAGCUAGAGGGAAAAUAGCAUAUCCAUAAAAAGCUUCUCUGAUUGCCACUAUUAAUAAAAUGGAGGCUGUAAACAAA